GGCAAACGGGUGAGUAACGCGUGGGCGACCUACCUUCGAGUGGGGGAUAACCUUCCGAAAGGAGGGCUAAUACCGCAUGACAUCCCGUGUUUGGAUACACGGAGAUCAAAGCCGGGGAUCGCAAGACCUGGCGCUUGAAGAGGGGCCUGCGUCCGAUUAGCUAGUUGGUGAGGUCACGGCUCACCAAGGCUCCGAUCGGUAUCCGGCCUGAGAGGGCGGACGGACACACUGGAACUGAGACACGGUCCAGACUCCUACGGGAGGCAGCAGUGGGGAAUUGUUCGCAAUGGGCGAAAGCCUGACGACGCAACGCCGCGUGGAGGAUGAAGACCUUCGGGUCGUAAACUCCUUUCGACCGAGAUGAAUUUCCUCCGACCUAACACGUCGGAGGGGUGACAGUAUCGAGGGAAGAAGCCCCGGCUAACUCUGUGCCAGCAGCCGCGGUAAUACAGGGGGGGCAAGCGUUGUUCGGAAUUACUGGGCGUAAGGGUUUGUAGGUGGCUUGCUAAGUCAGACGUGAAAUCCCUCAGCUCAACUGGGGAACUGCGUCUGAUACU
rnacentral:rRNA from 1 species